UACGUAGGGUGCAAGCGUUGUCCGGAAUUAUUGGGCGUAAAGAGCUUGUAGGCGGUUUGUCGCGUCUGCUGUGAAAUUUCGGGGCUCAACCCCGAACUUGCAGUGGGUACGGGCAGACUAGAGUGUGGUAGGGGAGACUGGAAUUCCUGGUGUAGCAGUGAAAUGCGCAGAUAUCAGGAGGAACACCGGUGGCGAAGGCGGUUCUCUGGGCCUGUACUGACGCUGAGGAACGAAAGCGUGGGGAGCGAACAGG
rnacentral:rRNA from 1 species